rnacentral:rRNA from 1 species
GACGAACGCUGGCGGCGUGCUUAACACAUGCAAGUCGAGCGGAAAGGCCCUGCUUUUGUGGGGUGCUCGAGUGGCGCACGGGUGAGUAACACGUGAGUAACCUGCCCUUGACUUUGGGAUAUCUUCAGGAAACUGGGGAUAAUACCGGAUAGGAGCUCCUGCUGCAUGGUGGGGGUUGGAAAGUUGCGGCGGUUGGGGAUGGACUCGCGGCUUAUCAGCUUGUUGGUGGGGUAGUGGCUUACCAAGCCUUUGACGGGUAGCCGGCCUGAGAGGGUGACCGGGCACAUUGGGACUGAGAUAGGGCGCAGACGCGAACGGGAGGCAACAGGGGGGAACAUGGCACAAUGGGCGGAAGCGUGAGGCAGCGGCGCCGCGUGCGGGAUGACGGCUUUCGGGGGGUAAACCGCUUUCGCCUGUGACGAAGCGUGAGUGACGGUAAUGGGUAAAGAAGCACCGGCUAACUACGUG